rnacentral:rRNA from 1 species
AAAUUGAAGAGUUUGAUCAUGGCUCAGAUUGAACGCUGGCGGCAGGCCUAACACAUGCAAGUCGAACGGUAACAGGAAUCAGCUUGCUGAUUCGCUGACGAGUGGCGGACGGGUGAGUAAUGUCUGGGAAACUGCCCGAUGGAGGGGGAUAACUACUGGAAACGGUAGCUAAUACCGCAUAACGUCGCAAGACCAAAGAGGGGGACCUUCGGGCCUCUUGCCAUCGGAUGUGCCCAGAUGGGAUUAGCUAGUAGGUGGGGUAACGGCUCACCUAGGCGACGAUCCCUAGCUGGUCUGAGAGGAUGACCAGCCACACUGGAACUGAGACACGGUCCAGACUCCUACGGGAGGCAGCAGUGGGGAAUAUUGCACAAUGGGCGCAAGCCUGAUGCAGCCAUGCCGCGUGUAUGAAGAAGGCCUUCGGGUUGUAAAGUACUUUCAGCGGGGAGGAAGGGAGUAAAGUUAAUACCUUUGCUCAUUGACGUUACCCGCAGAAGAAGCACCGGCUAACUCCGUGCCAGCAGCCGCGGUAAUACGGAGGGUGCAAGCGUUAAUCGGAAUUACUGGGCGUAAAGCGCACGCAGGCGGUCUGUUAAGUCAGAUGUGAAAUCCCCGGGCUCAACCUGGGAACUGCAUCUGAUACUGGCAGGCUUGAGUCUCGUAGAGGGGGGUAGAAUUCCAGGUGUAGCGGUGAAAUGCGUAGAGAUCUGGAGGAAUACCGGUGGCGAAGGCGGCCCCCUGGACGAAGACUGACGCUCAGGUGCGAAAGCGUGGGGAGCAAACAGGAUUAGAUACCCUGGUAGUCCACGCCGUAAACGAUGUCGACUUGGAGGUUGUGCCCUUGAGGCGUGGCUUCCGGAGCUAACGCGUUAAGUCGACCGCCUGGGGAGUACGGCCGCAAGGUUAAAACUCAAAUGAAUUGACGGGGGCCCGCACAAGCGGUGGAGCAUGUGGUUUAAUUCGAUGCAACGCGAAGAACCUUACCUGGUCUUGACAUCCACGGAAGUUUUCAGAGAUGAGAAUGUGCCUUCGGGAACCGUGAGACAGGUGCUGCAUGGCUGUCGUCAGCUCGUGUUGUGAAAUGUUGGGUUAAGUCCCGCAACGAGCGCAACCCUUAUCCUUUGUUGCCAGCGGUCCGGCCGGGAACUCAAAGGAGACUGCCAGUGAUAAACUGGAGGAAGGUGGGGAUGACGUCAAGUCAUCAUGGCCCUUACGACCAGGGCUACACACGUGCUACAAUGGCGCAUACAAAGAGAAGCGACCUCGCGAGAGCAAGCGGACCUCAUAAAGUGCGUCGUAGUCCGGAUUGGAGUCUGCAACUCGACUCCAUGAAGUCGGAAUCGCUAGUAAUCGUGGAUCAGAAUGCCACGGUGAAUACGUUCCCGGGCCUUGUACACACCGCCCGUCACACCAUGGGAGUGGGUUGCAAAAGAAGUAGGUAGCUUAACCUUCGGGAGGGCGCUUACCACUUUGUGAUUCAUGACUGGGGUGAAGUCGUAACAAGGUAACCGUAGGGGAACCUGCGGUUGGAUCACCUCCUUA